AAAAAAACUAUUGUAUUUAAAUAAAAUUACGCAUACUGUUUCAUUGUUUUAAAACUGUUUUUCUCUUUCUAAGGCUACUAUACAGGUUUUAUUUUUGCAGGUUCAACAGGUGUUACAUCAGGGGAAAUUUCCAGGAUGCCACGGAAAGGAAAGCGGUCUCAGGCUCAGAAGAUGCGUUGGAGAAAGGUGGACCUGGCGGAUGUACAGACCAUACUCUCCAGGACCAACAAGGAUGAACAGGCAAGAAUCACUGCUGCUGUAGCUCAGGUAUCUGACAGACUACAUGAUGGUGCACCCAGAGUUUUGUCUGUGCAGGCAUCCCAUUGCCAAAGUGAUGAAAGGUAUGACAUAUUCUCAAGAAAUCAUCAGUGCACAUGUGUAGAUCUAAUAUUCUUGGCCAACCACAGUGAAGGGGUUCAGUUCAGGAUGCAGGAUCUUGAUAGAGUUUUAGAGGAGGGGGAUGCUUUGUAUGUUGGUGUUAAAAUGCAGCUUAUGCAUGAACAAAGAUUUAUUCAGGACCAUAUGGCUAUGGAGGAUGUACCACUGACC